CACCCGGCUCUCCUCUCCACCAGGCUCCCACGCCCACCACACAGCCUGUAGCCCCGGCGGAGCUAUGGGCUCUGACUCCGCCUCUUUCCAAAUCCGGAGUAGUUCGUGCCACAGUCGUCCUCGGAACCCUGUGGCCCCUUCCUCACCCGUUUCAGGGCCACUUGGUUCCCACCUCCACCUUCUUAGUCUGCCUGCCCUGCUUUCCAUCUUCUUGGAAUUCGCCUUGCUGCCGCCCCGCGCCCACCCCCGCGCCCACCCCUGCCCCUGCACCGUCCCAUGCCCUUAUGGAUUUAUUCUUUACACGUAAAUAUGUCUUUCCUCUUUUUGAAAGGAUUUGGAGUUGGAACAGAGAAAUUCACUAUGGAUGAUGCUAUAUCUUUAUAUGACCUUUGGAAUAUCUGUAAUCAUCCUGAGGGCAAUACUUAUGUAAUGAAGAUGGAAGAAGAGAGAAUAUGAAUACUCCGUGCACUUUGAUCUUAUCGUUUAGCUGCUGAUCAUACCAUCCCUGGAGUCCUACUUCUGACUCCAAGUUAUGAGGAUGUCCCAGUGUUCUCACGUUCCACCUUCAAUCACACUUAACCAAUGUUAAAUCCCUGGAGAUACCAGAGACAUAAAUUUUCAUCGUGUGAAAUCUCUCAAAUGUCUAAAGUACCUAAUUAAAAAUAGAAAAUAAUGAAAACACAAAGAUGAAAAAAACCUGGCAGCUGUCUGAGAUUGGUCCCUGGGCAGCCAGCUGGUAUUUGUUGGACUGAAUUGUGUGAUGUAUACAAGAAAAUUAAUCCCUGCUACGGUGAAGUAGGCUUGCCUUGUGUAAUUCUUGAGGCAGUCAGCCUCAGGCCAUGUUGGGUGGAGAGAAUAAACUCUAUUUACCACCUUCUUUCAACUCCUGGCAGCUCCUUGCAUCUCCCACUAUGCAUGGAGUUACGGUAACCUGGGCAGCAGGGCGUCACCAGCACUCUUUCUUUGGUGUCAGAGGUAUAAUUUAGUGAAGGGUGAAGUUGCAGAAACUAGUGGGCGGGUUUUCAGAUGGGCUAUAGGAGAAAGACUGGGGAAAGGCAAGGAGGGGAGAAAGAGAAAGACACAGAUCUAUCUUUGCAUCAGACACCAUAGUUUUGAGGGACUUUUUGUGGGUUGCUGCUCCCUCUCCCCACCAGCCUUGACCCUUUUUUGUGACAUUAUACAGCUGAAUGAGUUAGUUAUACCAAGUCAAAACCCCCAG
rnacentral:lncRNA from 1 species